rnacentral:rRNA from 1 species
CCUACGGGAGGCUGCAAUGGGGAAUAUUGCACAAUGGGGGAAACCCUGAUGCAGCGACGCCGCGUGAGUGAAGAAGUAUUUCGGUACGUAAAGCUCUAUCAGCAGGGAAGAAAAUGACGGUACCUGACUAAGAAGCCCCGGCUAACUACGUGUCAGCAGCCGCGGUAAUACGUAGGGGGCAAGCGUUAUCCGGAUUUACUGGGUGUAAAGGGAGCGUAGACGGCAGCGCAAGUCUGGAGUGAAAUCCCAUGGCUUAACCAUGGAACUGCUUUGGAAACUGUGCAGCUAGAGUGCAGGAGAGGUAAGCGGAAUUCCUAGUGUAGCGGUGAAAUGCGUAGAUAUUAGGAGGAACACCAGUGGCGAAGGCGGCUUACUGGACUGUAACUGACGUUGAGGCUCGAAAGCGUGGGGAGCAAACAGGAUUAGAUACCCCUGUAGUC